GAUGAAGAACGCAGCGAAAUGCGAUAAGUAAUGUGAAUUGCAGAAUUCAGUGAAUCAUCGAAUCUUUGAACGCACAUUGCGCCCGCCAGUAUUCUGGCGGGCAUGCCUGUUCGAGCGUCAUUUCAACCAUCAAGCCCCAGGCUUGUGUUGGGGACCUGCGGCUGCCGCAGGCCCUGAAAACCAGUGGCGGGCUCGCUGUCACACCGGGCGUAGUAGAUUUUAUCUCGCUCAGGGCGUGCUGCGGGUUCCGGCCGUUAAAAAGCCUUUUUUACCCAAGGUUGACCUCGGAUCAGGUAGGAAGACCCGCUGAACUUAAGCAUAUCAAUAAGCGGA
rnacentral:misc_RNA from 1 species